GGUACUUUUUUUUUUCUGGGGGGUGCGAUGGGGGGCUUCUGUGCCAUACUGUGUAGCUUCCCAUAGAGAUGGGAGUUGGGUGUGCCUGAGUCUACCUGGAGCUACUUAGGCAGUAAUAUGUGUGUCAAGGGUGUGCAAAAGUAGCAUAGUAAUACAUAUCAGCUGGGGCACGUGUGCAGGGGACAUGUGUAUGCAUCUGUCAGAGUACAUAUGUAAGGACUUGCAUGUUAUGUCCGUUGUCUAGGCAUGGUCUGUGGAGUGUUUGUGGAUCAGCAGAAUGGAGUCAGAAUUUCAACAUGGAGUCUCCUGGGCCCACAACCUUCUGCUUUCUCGUUGACUCUGAAGAUGGUAAGGCGACUGGUAAGCCAGUUGGUCCUCAGAGGGUCUCCUACCUGCUGUUUCUGACUGAUCAUUAAAGGAGGGCUGGACUCCCAGUGGCAACCGUGCUGUCUCCCAAUGCCUACCACGCUUUUCUCUAGGUCUCCAUCAUCUAUCAUCACCAAGGACUCAAGCCCCAGGCCAAAGGCUUUUGAGGGCUUUGCUGUUGAAAUGAUCCAUGGUCCCAGCUAUGACAAAAACCCACACGGAGAAAUCUCCAGCAACAAAUGCUUAAUGAAGUGCCAGCAAAGCAUCACAUUAUGCAAAGCUGCCCAACUCAUCCGGCGCCUGGG
rnacentral:lncRNA from 1 species